UCCGAUAUGGUCUAGUGGCUAGGAUUUGCCGCUCUCAUUCAGAGUAGAACAUCUUCAUUGGUGCGCCGGCACGGCCCGGGUUCGAUUCCCGGUGUCGGAA